AACGAACGCUGGCGGCAGGCUUAACACAUGCAAGUCGAACGAGAAGGUUCUUUCGGGAACUGGACAGUGGCGCACGGGUGAGUAACGCGUGGGAAUCUACCAUGGAGUGGGGGAUAACAGUUGGAAACGACUGCUAAUACCGCAUAAGCCCUAAGGGGGAAAGGAGGGGAUCUGUUUACAGACCUUUCGCUAUUUGAUGGGCCUGCGUGAGAUUAGCUAGUUGGUGAGGUAAGAGCUCACCAAGGCGACGAUCUCUAGCUGGUCUGAGAGGAUGAUCAGCCACACUGGGACUGAGACACGGUCCAG
rnacentral:rRNA from 1 species